rnacentral:rRNA from 1 species
AUUGAACGCUGGCGGCAUGCCUUACACAUGCAAGUCGAACGGCAGCACGGGUGCCUGCACCUGGUGGCGAGUGGCGAACGGGUGAGUAAUAUAUCGGAACAUACCCUAGAGUGGGGGAUAACGUAGCGAAAGUUACGCUAAUACCGCAUACGAACUAAGGUUGAAAGUGGGGGAUCGCAAGACCUCAUGCUCAUGGAGUGGCCGAUAUCUGAUUAGCUAGUUGGUGAGGUAAAGGCUCACCAAGGCGACGAUCAGUAGCUGGUUUGAGAGAAAGACCAGCCACACUGGAACUGAGACACGGUCCAGACUCCUACGGGAGGAAGCAGUGGGGAAUUUUGGACAAUGGGGGCAACCCUGAUCCAGCAAUGCCGCGUGAGUGAAGAAGGCCCUCGGGUUGUAAAGCUCUUUUGUCAGGGAAGAAACGGUCUACUCUAAUACAGUGGGCUAAUGACGGUACCUGAAGAAUAAGCACCGGCUAACUACGUGCCAGCCGCCGCAGUAAGAC